GCAGACAAGAGAUUGUAACAAAGGAGCCCGCUGUACAGAACGAUGGCCAGCACUCUUCACAGACAGACAGGUGGGAGUUCAAUAGAAUGACCAGUAAGAAUCUUGAGGGAGACUUGUUUGAAGCUCUGGACCAGUACACCCCAUGUUUCAUCGAACAUUUCAAAACAAAAAAGGUGUGUUGGCCAGAAACUCAGUGAGCUAAUGCAGCAUAUGAGCUGGAUGACACCAGACUUGACAGCACUUUGGUAUGUUGUCCUCAAAGGCAUUCCCAUUGUGCUCGCUGAAGACUCCAGUGAAUUCUAAAAGACAUCCUCUGUAAAUACUUGCACUUCAGAAUAUGGAAACAGUGAGAGAUGAGGCCCUAGAAUGCAUCACCGUUGGUGCACUGACAGUUGUCAGUGAAGAUAGUCCUCACGAGUGUCCAAGCUCAGUGAACCUCCAGCCCAUCUACACUGCCAUCAUUCUGGAGGGAUGUAUUGUCAUGGACCAUAUUAAAAAACCUGCCUCAAGCAGU